GACGAACGCUGGCGGCGUGCUUAACACAUGCAAGUCGAACGAAGUGGCGAACGGGUGAGUAACGCGUAAUCAACCUGCCCUUCAGAGGGGGACAACAGUUGGAAACGACUGCUAAUACCGCAUACUGAUGGAGGGGAUUGCGUCUGAUUAGCUAGUUGGCGGGGUAACGGCCCACAAAGGCGGUGAUCAGUAGCCGGUCUGGAGGGAUGAACGGCCACAAUGGGACUGAGACACGGCCCAGACCCCAACGGUAGGCAGCAAUGGGGAAUCUUCCGCAAUGGACGAAAGUCUGACGGAGCAACGCGGCGGGAGGGAUGACGGCCUUCGGGUUGUAAGGCUCUGUUAAUCGGGACGCGGUACCGGAAUAGAAAGCCACGGCUAACUACGUGCCAGCAGCCGCGGUAAUAC
rnacentral:rRNA from 1 species